rnacentral:rRNA from 1 species
GAUGAACGCUGGCGGCGUGCCUAAUACAUGCAAGUCGAGCGAAUGGAUUAAGAGCUUGCUCUUAUGAAGUUAGCGGCGGACGGGUGAGUAACACGUGGGUAACCUGCCCAUAAGACUGGGAUAACUCCGGGAAACCGGGGCUAAUACCGGAUAAUAUUUUGAACUGCAUGGUUCAGAAUUGAAAGGCGGCUUCGGCUGUCACUUAUGGAUGGACCCGCGUCGCAUUAGCUAGUUGGUGAGGUAACGGCUCACCAAGGCAACGAUGCGUAGCCGACCUGAGAGGAUGAUCGGCCACACUGGGACUGAGACACGGCCCAGACUCCUACGGGAGGCAGCAGUAGGGAAUCUUCCGCAAUGGACGAAAGUCUGACGGAGCAACGCCGCGUGAGUGAUGAAGGCUUUCGGGUCGUAAAACUCUGUUGUUAGGGAAGAACAAGUGCUAGUUGAAUAAGCUGGCACCUUGACGGUACCUAACCAGAAAGCCACGGCUAACUACGUGCCAGCCGCCGCCGUAA